rnacentral:rRNA from 1 species
GAGUUUGAUCAUGGCUCAGAUUGAACGCUGGCGGCAUGCCUUACACAUGCAGGUCGAACGGCAGCACGGGAGCUUGCUCCUGGUGGCGAGUGGCGAACGGGUGAGUAAUGCAUCGGAACGUAUCCUGGAGUGGGGGAUAACGUAGCGAAAGUUACGCUAAUACCGCAUAUUCUGUGAGCAGGAAAGCGGGGGACCUUCGGGCCUCGCGCUCUUGGAGCGGCCGAUGUCGGAUUAGCUAGUUGGUGAGGUAAAGGCUCACCAAGGCGACGAUCCGUAGCAGGUCUGAGAGGAUGAUCUGCCACACUGGAACUGAGACACGGUCCAGACUCCUACGGGAGGCAGCAGUGGGGAAUUUUGGACAAUGGGGGCAACCCUGAUCCAGCCAUGCCGCGUGAGUGAAGAAGGCCU